GUGGGGAAUCUUGCGCAAUGGGCGAAAGCCUGACGCAGCCAUGCCGCGUGAAUGAUGAAGGUCUUAGGAUUGUAAAAUUCUUUCACCGGGGACGAUAAUGACGGUACCCGGAGAAGAAGCCCCGGCUAACUUCGUGCCAGCAGCCGCGGUAAUACGAAGGGGGCUAGCGUUGCUCGGAAUUACUGGGCGUAAAGGGCGCGUAGGCGGACAGUUUAGUCAGAGGUGAAAGCCCAGGGCUCAACCUUGGAAUUGCCUUUGAUACUGGCUGUCUUGAGUACGGGAGAGGUGAGUGGAACUCCGAGUGUAGAGGUGAAAUUCGUAGAUAUUCGGAAGAACACCAGUGUCGAAGGCGACUCACUGGCCCAAUACUGACGCUGAGGCGCGAAAGCGUGGGGAGCAAACAGGAUUAGAUACCCUGGUAGUCC
rnacentral:rRNA from 1 species